rnacentral:rRNA from 1 species
AUUGAACGCUGGCGGCAGGCCUAACACAUGCAAGUCGAGCGAGCGGCGGACGGGUGAGUAAUGUAUGGGGAUCUGCCCGAUAGAGGGGGAUCACUAAUGGAAAAGGUAGCUAAUACCGCAUACCAUCAGAUGAACCCAUAUGGGAUUAGCUAGUAGGUGGGGUAAAGGCUCACCUAGGCGGAGAUCUCUAGCUGGUCUGAGAGGAUGACAAGCCACACUGGGACUGAGACACGGCCCAGACUCCUACGGGAGGCAGCAGUGGGGAAUAUUGCACAAUGGGCGCAAGCCUGAUGCAGCCAUGCCGCGUGUGUGAAGAAGGCCUUAGGGUUGUAAAGUACUUUCAGCGGGGAGGCGUUACUCGCAGAAGAAGCACCGGCUAACUCCGUGCCAGCAGCCGCGGUAAUAC